AGAGUUUGAUUCUGGCUCAGAACGAACGCUGGCAGCGUGGAUUAGGCAUACAAGUCGAACGAGAACCCGUUUAACUCAAUUCUUCGGAAGAGAGCGGCGGGGGAGAGUGGCGGAAGGGUGAGUAACGCGUGGGCAAUCUACCCUUGAGUUGGGGACAACUCCCCGAAAGGGGGGCUAAUACCGAAUGUGGUCCUCUCGGGCAUCCGAGAGAGACUGAAGGUGGGGAUCCUUCGGGACCUGCCGCUCGAGGAGGAGCCCGCGUACCAUCAGCUUGUUGGUGAGGUAACGGCUCACCAAGGCUUACGGUUAGCUGGUCUGAGAGGAUGGUCAGCCACACUGGGACUGAGACACUGCCCAGACUCCUACGGGAGGCUGCAGUCGAGGAUCAUUGUCAAUGCGCGAAAGCGUGAACAUGCGACGCUGCGUGGAGGAUGACGGCCUUCGGGUUGUAAACUCCUGUCAUCCGGGAAAAACGGGCGGUUCGCGAAUAGCGGGCCGUCGUGAUGGUACCGGAAGAGGAAGCCACGGCUAACUCUGUGCCAGCAGCCGCGGUAAUACAGAGGUGGCGAGCGUUGUUCGGAUUUACUGGGCGUAAAGCGUGCGUAGGUGGUUCCGUGUGUCGGAUGUGAAAGCCCACUGCCCAACGGUGGAAAUGCUUUCGAAACUGCGGAGCUGGAGUGCAGGAGGGGAGAGCGGAAUUCUUGGUGUAGCGGUGAAAUGCGUUGAUAUCAAGAAGAACACCGGUGGCGAAGGCGGCUCUCUGGAAUGUUACUGACACUGAGGCACGAAAGCUGGGGGAGCAAACAGGAUUAGAUACCCUGGUAGUCCCAGCCGUAAACGGUGUGGACUUGGUGUUGGCGGUAUUGACCCCGCCAGUGCCGGAGCUAACGCGUUAAGUCCACCGCCUGGGGAGUACGGCCGCAAGGCUAAAACUCAAAGGAAUUGACGGGGGCCCGCACAAGCGGAGGAGCAUGUGGCUUAAUUCGAUGCAACGCGAAGAACCUUACCAGGGCUUGACAUGGAGACCCUUCGGGGGUGCCGGCGAAAGUCGCUUUACUCACACAGGUGCUGCAUGGCUGUCGUCAGUUCGUGCCGUGAGGUGUUGGGUUAAGUCCCGCAACGAACGCAACCCUUGUGUCUAGUUGCCACCGCAGGUGAUGAGCCUGCGAGCACUCUAGACAGACUGCCCGUACAAGCGGGAGGAAGGUGGGGACGACGUCAAGUCAGUAUGGCCCUUACGUCCUGGGCUGCACACGUGCUACAAUGGUCGGUACAGAGGGAAGCAAUGCCGCAAGGUGGAGCAAAUCCCCAAAGCUGGCCUCAGUUCGGAUUGGAGUCUGCAACUCGACUCCAUGAAGUUGGAUUCGCUAGUAACGGCGCAUCAGCUACGGCGCCGUGAAUACGUUCCCGGGCCUUGUACACACCGCCCGUCACAUCAUGAAAGCCGUCUGCACCCAAAGUCACUGAGCCAACCCGCAAGGGAGGCAGGUGCCGAAGGUGUUGGUGGUGAUUGGGAUGAAGUCGAAACAAGGUA
rnacentral:rRNA from 1 species